GCAUGCGUCUUGGGAAAACAAAAUGGCGAUAGCUGACAUCCAACACUGGCUGGCUACCAGGAGCCCUCUGAAAACCCUACAUGUGGCUACUGCUUAACUCUUGCAAUCCUUUGAGAGAUUUUAAAAGAGACUCCUCAGCAGAGUGGAGAUACAUAGAAGGCAAGAGUGAUCAGGACGCCCACUGUUUCCCUUUGGACCAUUCCUUCUUCUUGAGAUACUGCAUUGUCUGAGUUGCCUGCUGUGUUGGCUGAGGUAAGUUACCU